UACGUAGGGUGCAAGCGUUGUCCGGAAUUAUUGGGCGUAAAGAGCUCGUAGGCGGUCUGUCGCGUCUGCUGUGAAAACUCGGGGCUUAACCCCGGGCCUGCAGUGGGUACGGGCAGACUAGAGUGCGGUAGGGGAGAUCGGAAUUCCUGGUGUAGCGGUGGAAUGCGCAGAUAUCAGGAGGAACACCGGUGGCGAAGGCGGAUCUCUGGGCCAUAACUGACGCUGAGGAGCGAAAGCAUGGGGAGCGAACAGG
rnacentral:rRNA from 1 species